AUGAACGCUGGCGGCGUGCCUAAUACAUGCAAGUCGAACGAGUUCUCGUUGAUGAUCGGUGCUUGCACCGAGAUUCAACAUGGAACGAGUGGCGGACGGGUGAGUAACACGUGGGUAACCUGCCCUUAAGUGGGGGAUAACAUUUGGAAACAGAUGCUAAUACCGCAUAGAUCCAAGAACCGCAUGGUUCUUGGCUGAAAGAUGGCGUAAGCUAUCGCUUUUGGAUGGACCCGCGGCGUAUUAGCUAGUUGGUGAGGUAAUGGCUCACCAAGGCGAUGAUACGUAGCCGAACUGAGAGGUUGAUCGGCCACAUUGGGACUGAGACACGGCCCAAACUCCUACGGGAGGCAGCAGUAGGGAAUCUUCCACAAUGGACGCAAGUCUGAUGGAGCAACGCCGCGUGAGUGAAGAAGGCUUUCGGGUCGUAAAACUCUGUUGUUGGAGAAGAAUGGUCGGCAGAGUAACUGUUGUCGGCGUGACGGUAUCCAACCAGAAAGCCACGGCUAACUACGUGCCAGCAGCCGCGGUAAUACGUAGGUGGCAAGCGUUAUCCGGAUUUAUUGGGCGUAAAGCGAGCGCAGGCGGUUUUUUAAGUCUGAUGUGAAAGCCCUCGGCUUAACCGAGGAAGCGCAUCGGAAACUGGGAAACUUGAGUGCAGAAGAGGACAGUGGAACUCCAUGUGUAGCGGUGAAAUGCGUAGAUAUAUGGAAGAACACCAGUGGCGAAGGCGGCUGUCUGGUCUGUAACUGACGCUGAGGCUCGAAAGCAUGGGUAGCGAACAGGAUUAGAUACCCUGGUAGUCCAUGCCGUAAACGAUGAAUGCUAGGUGUUGGAGGGUUUCCGCCCUUCAGUGCCGCAGCUAACGCAUUAAGCAUUCCGCCUGGGGAGUACGACCGCAAGGUUGAAACUCAAAGGAAUUGACGGGGGCCCGCACAAGCGGUGGAGCAUGUGGUUUAAUUCGAAGCAACGCGAAGAACCUUACCAGGUCUUGACAUCUUUUGAUCACCUGAGAGAUCAGGUUUCCCCUUCGGGGGCAAAAUGACAGGUGGUGCAUGGUUGUCGUCAGCUCGUGUCGUGAGAUGUUGGGUUAAGUCCCGCAACGAGCGCAACCCUUAUGACUAGUUGCCAGCAUUUAGUUGGGCACUCUAGUAAGACUGCCGGUGACAAACCGGAGGAAGGUGGGGAUGACGUCAAAUCAUCAUGCCCCUUAUGACCUGGGCUACGCACGUGCUACAAUGGAUGGUACAACGAGUUGCGAGACCGCGAGGUCAAGCUAAUCUCUUAAAGCCAUUCUCAGUUCGGACUGUAGGCUGCAACUCGCCUACACGAAGUCGGAAUCGCUAGUAAUCGCGGAUCAGCACGCCGCGGUGAAUACGUUCCCGGGCCUUGUACACACCGCCCGUCACACCAUGAGAGUUUGUAACACCCGAAGCCGGUGGCGUAACCCUUUUAGGGAGCGAGCCGUCUAAGGUGGGACAAAUGAUUAGGGUG
rnacentral:rRNA from 1 species